rnacentral:rRNA from 1 species
GUGCCGUGCUUAACACAUGCAAGUCGAACGGUGAAGCCCAGCUUGCUGGGUGGAUCAGUGGCGAACGGGUGAGUAACACGUGAGCAACCUGCCCUCCACUUCGGGAUAAGCCUUGGAAACGAGGUCUAAUACCGGAUACGAGCACUUACCGCAUGGUGGGUGUUGGAAAGUUUUUCGGUGGGGGAUGGGCUCGCGGCCUAUCAGCUUGUUGGUGGGGUAAUGGCCUACCAAGGCGUCGACGGGUAGCCGGCCUGAGAGGGCGACCGGCCACACUGGGACUGAGACACGGCCCAGACUCCUACGGGAGGCAGCAGUGGGGAAUAUUGCACAAUGGGCGAAAGCCUGAUGCAGCGACGCCACGUGAGGGAUGACGGCCUUCGGGUUGUAAACCUCUUUCAGCAGGGAAGAAGCGCAAGUGACGGUACCUGCAGAAGAAGCGCCGGCUAACUACGUGCCAGCAGCCGCGGUAAUACGUAGGGCGCAAGCUUUGUCCGGAAUUAUUGGGCGUAAAGAGCUCGUAGGCGGUCUGUCGCGUCUGGUGUGAAAUCUCAUGGCUCAACUGUGAGCUUGCAUCGGGUACGGGCAGACUAGAGUGCUGUAGGGGAGACUGGAAUUCCUGGUGUAGCGGUGGAAUGCGCAGAUAUCAGGAGGAACACCGAUGGCGAAGGCAGGUCUCUGGGCAGUUACUGACGCUGAGGAGCGAAAGCAUGGGGAGCGAACAGGAUUAGAUACCCUGGUAGUCCAUGCCGUAAACGUUGGGCACUAGGUGUGGGGCCAGUUCCACUGGUUCUGUGCCGUAGCUAACGCAUUAAGUGCCCCGCCUGGGGAGUACGGCCGCAAGGCUAAAACUCAAAGGAAUUGACGGGGGCCCGCACAAGCGGCGGAGCAUGCGGAUUAAUUCGAUGCAACGCGAAGAACCUUACCAAGGCUUGACAUGUACGAGAAAGCCCCAGAGAUGGGGUUCUCUUUGGACACUCGUACACAGGUGGUGCAUGGUUGUCGUCAGCUCGUGUCGUGAGAUGUUGGGUUAAGUCCCGCAACGAGCGCAACCCUUGUCUCAUGUUGCCAGCGGGUUAUGCCGGGGACUCAUGGGAGACUGCCGGGGUCAACUCGGAGGAAGGUGGGGAUGACGUCAAAUCAUCAUGCCCCUUAUGUCUUGGGCUUCACGCAUGCUACAAUGGCCGGUACAGAGGGCUGCGAUACCGUGAGGUGGAGCGAAUCCCAAAAAGCCGGUCUCAGUUCGGAUCGGGGUCUGCAACUCGACCCCGUGAAGUCGGAGUCGCUAGUAAUCGCAGAUCAGCAACGCUGCGGUGAAUACGUUCCCGGGCCUUGUACACACCGCCCGUCAAGUCACGAAAGUUGGUAACACCCGAAGCUCACGGCCCAACCCUCGGGAGGGAGUGGUCGAAGGUGGGACUGGCGAUUGGGACUAAGUCGUAACAAG